rnacentral:rRNA from 1 species
UUGGAGGGCAAGUCUGGUGCCAGCAGCCGCGGUAAUUCCAGCUCCAAUAGCGUAUAUUAAAGUUGUUGCAGUUAAAAAGCUCGUAGUUGAAUUUCGGGAUCAGAGUGUCGGUCGUGCCUCGGUACGCACUGGUAUUAUUGGUUCCUACCUUCUGAAGAACCGCGAUGUCAUUAAUUUGGUGUCGUGGGGAAUCAGGACUGUUACUUUGAAAAAAUUAGAGUGUUUAAAGCAGGCUUACGCUUGAAUACAUUAGCAUGGAAUAAUGAAAUAGGACGUUUGAUUCUAUUUUGUUGGUUUCUAGGAUUGACGUAAUGAUUAAUAGGGAUAGUUGGGGGCAUUAGUAUUCAAUUGUCAGAGGUGAAAUUCUUGGAUUUAUUGAAGACUAACUACUGCGAAAGCAUUUGCCAAGGAUGUUUUCAUUAAUCAAGAACGAAAGUUAGGGGAUCGAAGACGAUCAGAUACCGUCGUAGUCUUAACCAUAAACUAUGCCGACUAGGGAUCGGAUGAUGUUAAUUUUUUAAUGACUCAUUCGGCGCCUUGCGGGAAACCAAAGUGUUUGGGUUC